rnacentral:rRNA from 1 species
GUCAGCAGCCGUAUCACCCUGCAACUCCCAGCUGGCAGCCCACUGAAGCUCAGCAGGAGUGAGCCUGGCCAGUACCUGGAUGGGAGACUCCUGAGAAAGCUAAGGUUGCUGCUAGAA